rnacentral:rRNA from 1 species
AUUGAACGCUGGCGGCAGGCUUAACACAUGCAAGUCGAGCGGUAGCACAGGGGAGCUUGCUCCCUGGGUGACGAGCGGCGGACGGGUGAGUAAUGUCUGGGAAACUGCCUGAUGGAGGGGAAUAACUACUGGAAACGGUAGCUAAUACCGCAUAACGUCGCAAGACCAAAGAGGGGGACCUUCGGGCCUCUUGCCAUCAGAUGUGUCCAGAUGGGAUUAGCUAGUAGGUGGGGUAAUGGCUCACCUAGGCGACGAUCCCUAGCUGGUCUGAGAGGAUGACCAGCCACACUGGAACUGAGACACGGUCCAGACUCCUACGGGAGGCAGCAGUGGGGAAUAUUGCACAAUGGGCGCAAGCCUGAUGCAGCCAUGCCGCGUGUGUGAAGAAGGCCUUCGGGUUGUAAAGCACUUUCAGCGAGGAGGAAGGUGGUGAGCUUAAUACGUUCAUCAAUUGACGUUACUCGCAGAAGAAGCACCGGCUAACUCCGUG